UUUCCUCUUCUCCUCCUCCUUCACUAGCGCCAACACAAGUUUUGCUUACCGACGUGUUUGUUGUGGCGAAAUUAUUCCAGCAGAGGAGAUGUGCAGAAAGUGUUUCACAUUUCUACCCAUUGGAGUUUGCUUGGUGGUAGAGCUGACCUACCAAACGGCACAAAUUGGUAGCUCUCUUUGUUAGGUGUAGAAAUUGAAGCGCUGGUGUGCUGCUGAAUGCUAGUCUGAUGCUCUUUUAGGGUUUGAUCUAUUGAUUUUUGUGAAAUUCAAAAUUAAUCUAUGUAAUUGAUAUUGCUGAAUUUGGUGUUUCUCUGUACUCUCGGUUGGGAGUUGUACAAUAAAAAGACAGACAGUUUCUAACAUAU